GGGGACCUUCGGGGCCCUUUAACAUAGGCGGGUCGGCUUUCUAACAUGGCCCGCCGUCUAGCUAACGGAAGAGAGCAA
rfam:Alpha proteobacterium symbiont of Oscarella lobularis scaffold2, whole genome shotgun sequence.